rfam:Gossypium raimondii Chr02_contig_478, whole genome shotgun sequence.
UUUUAAAACUUUAAUUUAUUCUUAUUAUUAAAACUUGACAUGACUGAUAAAAUAACUAGACAAUUACAUGCGGUGUGACUUGUGCACCUCAUGUUGACAUACAAGAAUCAGUUUUUAACAAUAAAAAUGAAUAAAAUUUUUAACC